rnacentral:rRNA from 1 species
UACGUAGGGUGCGAGCGUUGUCCGGAAUUACUGGGCGUAAAGAGCUCGUAGGUGGUUUGUCGCGUUGUUCGUGAAAACUCACAGCUUAACUGUGGGCGUGCGGGCGAUACGGGCAGACUGGAGUACUGCAGGGGAGACUGGAAUUCCUGGUGUAGCGGUGGAAUGCGCAGAUAUCAGGAGGAACACCGGUGGCGAAGGCGGGUCUCUGGGCAGUAACUGACGCUGAUGCACGAAAGCUAGGGGAGCAAACAGG